UUUUAAUGAUGAUUACCUUAUCACCAUCUUUCGACUGUACAUCCUUGAUGUUAUUCUUUUUUUAACUGACUUGAAAU
rnacentral:snoRNA from 1 species